UAGGGAAUCUUCGGCAAUGGGGGGAACCCUGACCGAGCAACGCCGCGUGAGUGAAGAAGGUUUUCGGAUCGUAAAGCUCUGUUGUUAAGGAAGAACGAGUGUGAGAAUGGAAAGUUCAUACUGUGACGGUACUUAACCAGAAAGGGACGGCUAACUACGUGCCAGCAGCCGCGGUAAUACGUAGGUCCCGAGCGUUGUCCGGAUUUAUUGGGCGUAAAGCGAGCGCAGGCGGUUAGAUAAGUCUGAAGAUAAAGGCAGUGGCUCAACCAUUGUAGGCUUUGGAAGCUGUUUAACUUGAGUGCAGAAGGGGGGGGAGGAAUUCCAUGUGUAGCGGAGAAAUGCGUAGAUAUAUGGAGGAACACCGGUGGCGAAGGCGGCUCUCUGGGAUGUAACUGACGCUGAGGCUCGAAAGCGUGGGGAGCGAACAGG
rnacentral:rRNA from 1 species